UGAAUGUCUGACCAGGAAGUGGCUCCUCCAGCUCCUCUCACCUGCUUCCAGGCAGCUCAGAGGCCAUCUUGGAUGUUUUAUUCAGAACAGGAAUGCUAGGCUAACCUGAAAUAACUUCUAAUCCCUGACUGAUUCUGCUGCUUAUGUCCAGCAGGCGCAUUCAGGGACCUGCUUCAGUUUUCCUUUCUAGCAGUUUGUUGUAUUUUCUGAUGUUUUUCCCCCACAGAGCUCAUGUUGGUGUUAAAAAGAGGCCUCUGGUAGGAAGUAGGAUCCAGAAGCUGAAAUUCUUCAACCCAUUUCUGCACUAAUGUCCCAAACAUCCUAAAAAUCGAGCAUCAUCCGGUGUUCUUUGUUUGGGAGAGCUAUAAUAAGCAGCUCAUCUCCUGUGCUGGAGCCCAGAGAGCUGCCUUCCUGCCCAGCUCUGGCUCCCCCUAGCUACCUCUCCAUAUUUCCUUGUUAGUGCACACCCUGAGCCCUCACCCUCCCUGGCUAAGAAACACAUUAAAUACACCAAAAUACACCUGAAAAGCUGUUUUUUUCGACAUAUAUCCCAAGUAAAGAGUCUCCAUUUGCCUCCCAGCCAUCAUUGGGUCCCAUUGGUUUCACCAGAACAGAGGAUUUCUUACCUUUUCAGACUGACUCUGUCAAACUCUGCCUUUCCAAAGUCCCAACCUAAACACCCUCCUUCUUCUUCCCAGCAAUCCCUGCAAAAAGGACACUUCCAUGUAUGUUGAAUAUGUGGGGGUGAUCAAAUGGGACAAAACCAAUUUUUAAAUUCAAAUGAUUCCCCUUAAAUUAAAAAUAAGAUGUUCAGGCUCCAUAAAGGCAACAGCUCCAAUAUGGAACCAAAAAUGGCAUUUGAAGUGAGUUAAAUAAUAAAUAACCUUACCUCAGAAAUACGUGGUCCCACCCCCUGAAAUGUAGACUUCUUGUGCUCCAUCCAAUAGUGGAACAGUUGUUCCAGAGGAGGGUUUGUCAGCGAGUGCGCAGCUGAAGUCCUGGAGACGCUCAGCUGACUUCGGUGCGUUUCCAAGCCCUGGAGCAUCUUUAAAGGCUGCAUAUCCAGAUCUGAUGGACUUUUUGGGUCAAAGGGGAUGUUUUUGUUCGGGAAAAGAUUUAAAAAGGCGGAGAAAAUUUGGAAAACUAGGGUAAAAUCCAGCGAUACCAAAAGAGCGCAACGAAUCCAAAAUAGACCUCUCCAAAAUGGGAAAGGAGUAUCCAAGGCUCAGAAAACUCUUUACAGGCUCCAGGGAGGAAAAAUACAAAAAGUCAAUCUAAGUCUAAAGCAGGGAGCUGAGAGACACAAAUACGAAGCUGGGAUGGCAAAGAAUCCCACCAGGAGGAGCUGGUAGAGACAAGCAGAAAAUGGUUUUUAUUUGGUUUGUUUUUGUUUUAGUUUACUCAAUUUAAUUAUUUUAUUCAAAUAAAUUGUUUAAUAAAUCCGUGAUUUAUGUUUUCUUUUAUAUUCUGCUGUAGAUUGAUGUCAAUUUUAUUUUUAUCAAUUUAUUAAACAUGUAGCUUGUUGGCAAAAAAAAAAAACUUUUUUAAAAGUAAAUGGAUGUAAGUUUAUAUUUCUAUUGUCAUUAAUAAAAACAUUUAUCCACAUCCCUUUUGUUGUCUUAAUGUGUAAACCGGCAUGUUUACAGAAAUUUGUUCACUGAAGAAGGGAUCAGGAAGAUUGUUGGUCUUAAGACUAAAGGAAGGAAAACUGGAAUAAUUCUUCUUUAUAUGUUUUAUUUUUACAUAGAAAAAAGAAUAAUCUGUGUCAUUUAAUGAUAUUUACCAUGAAUCAUGCAAGUUUGAGUGUUAAACUUGUAAUGUUACUUGAUUUUCUGAAAUGAAUAAUAUAUUUUUAUUAUUUGAGAAAACCUGACAUUACAUCCACACACAUGAACCCAGAAAAAAUAAACUCAUUGGUUCUUUUCAAA